rnacentral:ncRNA from 2 species
CGCCUCACCUCGGGGUGCCCCUGAAUUGGGGGCUGAGAUGCGGCUUGAUGCGCCGCGAACCCGUUGAACCUGAACCGGCUAGAACCGGCGGAGGGAAGGUUUCGAGUCUCCUC